rnacentral:rRNA from 1 species
GACAGAGGGUGCAAACGUUGUUCGGAAUUACUGGGCGUAAAGCGCGUGUAGGCGGCUAUGUAAGUCGGGCGUGAAAUCCCACGGCUCAACCGUGGAAGUGCACCCGAAACUGCGUAGCUAGAGUCCUGGAGAGGAAGGUGGAAUGCUUGGUGUAGAGGUGAAAUUUGUAGAUAUCAAGCGGAACACCGGUGGCGAAGGCGGCCUUCUGGACAGUGACUGACGCUGAGACGCGAAAGCGUGGGGAGCAAACAGG